UGCACUGCCGCCGCCGUUCUAAGCUGGGAAGCCAAGGACAUAGCCCAGGACUGCUCAGGACAGGGUGCAGGAGCGCUCAGAGGGUGCAAUCCUCAAGCUUCUUGCCUAAGGUGAGGAUUUCAAGAACUCAGCACCUAGCUGGACUCCGAGCUUUCAGGAAUGGAACCUGCUUGGUUAGUGGUUGCUGGGACACAGGGACGCCAUUUGCUUUCUACGACCUGGUUCCUCGGAGCACAGUUCUUCAUCCCUGGCCAAGAUGAAUUCAGGUUGGACUCUGGAUCCAUAAAGCUGGGGACUUCAGUCCCAGGAGGGAAGACCUGUCCUCAGGAAAGGUGACACAACCUUGGAAAUGGUGAGCGUGACCAGCCAGCUUCCUGCCCCCACCACCACUCAAAAGCCUGGGAAACCCUGCUCUUGUUACCAGACGCCAACCACAGACCACAAGGGAUCCUUUCUUCCCUAAGUUGCUCUAUCCUGAGGCUGUUUUAUUCAGAGGGACGGAAACGUAACCAAAGCGAUGCUCCAUCAAGAUGGCGACCAUUGGGAUCAUCAGUCUGACGAGACUGUUUGGUGGGGCAGUGUGACGUAAGGGAGGGUCUAAAUUAUAGAAAAGAGGCUCAAGAACAAACACUUUCAGCAAUGCUUUUCUCUCCCCAAACUGGGUGUGUGUGUGGGAAGCGGGGGAGGGCUCAUUGGCACAGAACUCUGCAUGAGGAUGAACUAGACACACAGAGACCAAAUGACUGAGGUCACCAGGAGGUAAACACAGGCUCAGUUAACCUCACAGUUCACAGCCAAACACUGAGUCCAAGCCCUGAUUCCAUCACAUGCUGGCUACAUGAUCUUGAGUCAUGAUCACGUGACUUCUCUGGGGCACAACUCUCCUUUUUAUAAAUGUACUGACUGGUUUUGUGUGUCAACUUGACACAAGCUGGAGUUAUCUCAGAGAAAGGAGCCUCCU
rnacentral:sRNA from 1 species